GAAGCGCGCCAAUCAACGAAAGUUUACAGAAUGUACAUGGCUUGAAGCGACAUCAGUCUGUUAAAGUAAGUACUCAGGUUGGGGAAAAACGUCGUCGCAUCGCGUUAAGCUUGGUUUAUAAAUUCCUGCAUCGAUGCACGACAGAUAUUUUUAACUGGACGAUAGGUCGUCUUGAAGACAACGUUCGAAAUAUCUGAACUCGAGAAGCAGACAUUCUCAGACUUUUAAAAGAAUCAGUUUUUCAACCGUAAUCUAUUCAUCUUUGUGCUUUUUACUAACCAAAGGACUCCUGAUCAGAUGUGAUCCAUGUAUUCAAUUACAACGACAUAUCAAUAUAAACACAUGCACGUUUUAGUACAUGUAUUAGCGCGUGUAUAUUGUGAUAACAAUUAACAAUCAACAAUUCACAAAUAAUUGGCUUAGAGUCAUGAAUUCCUCUGUCAGCGUGCAAUCGAUCGCAAUCUGGUCGACAGUACACACUCGUAAAAAUGCGGAAACGUUAGUGGACGCUGGACAGUCUGUGCUGCAAGGUCGGCGACGACGUUUCCCACACGAAGUUCUUGAACCUGAGCGCUGCCGUAAGGAACUACUGUCACUCGUUACCCACCGACACCGAGCCUUUUCGAAUCCGUCGUAAAAAGAAGGAACGAGGAUGGAUCACUCGUGGACCAGGGGACAUUGUUACGGUGUCGAGUUUUUUUUUACAAGUUUAUGGCAGAGAAAGGAGCACGGAUCUCAUUAUCCUGAUGUAUCUUCGCAGACAUCUGUACGUGAUAAAUUUCUCUCUUCCUCUCUUGCCCUUUGCCUUCCGUCUCAAACCGCCUUUUCUUUGCUUUUCUUUGCUUUUCUUUGCGUUUCUUUUUUGUUUUUCAUGCUCCUUAACCAGAAUCAUGGCACGAGAUUUUUUUGCUUAAAAAAUAUAUGUUUGCUACGCGAAGACGUAUAUAUGUGCUCCUCGAAUAAGAGCAAUUUU